AUGAUAAAAAAUGUGCAAAGCCUUAGGAAUGAUGCCGAUGAUGAGGGUCAACCGAGGAUUCCAGAACAAGUCCGUGCGCGCGUUUUGGUCACCAUCCUGAUCGCGCUCCAUCCUCAGGGAAGCGGAGCUGCUCGGAAGCGUCUGUCCCCCACCAUCAUCAUCAUCAUCAUCAUGCUACUGAUCUCCAAAAAUACUGUCCUGCACAAAACCGGGAAGGGAACGAAAGCAGACCGAAUCAUGGAAACGGAAGGUGAGGGAGAAGACUCGCACUUGGCACCUGCGCACGUGGGGAAAGGAACGGAUCUGGAAAGAGGACCGGCGGAGACGAGGAGGAAGGAAGGAGGCACCCAAGCCAAGGUCACCCUCAGUGUUUCCAGCAGGAGAUGGACUACAAGCCAGGAACAACCUAACUCCUUUCAACCAUGUGAAACAGAGCCAGAAAUGCAUGAUGGGAAAGAACACAAGGGGUUUCGCACACUAAUGUCUGCUCCUAGACAUGAAAGUCGUCCGUUCAAAAGCAUGUCCAAGAAGGAUCCAGCUUUGAAGUGCUUUUACUGUAGUCAUCCCCAGUUCCUACCCAUUCACUAGUUUCAACAUAAGACUGAAUUCAUUGAGGGUAGUCAUAUUAUCAGGAGAAAACUCUGUUACUUGAAAAAGCAGUAGUGUACAUCACUUAUGUUUAAUAUAAGGCCCUUUACAUAUUCCGCAUUGAAUUGUCUGGAAAGAGAAGCUACUCUCUCUGUGGAAACAGAUUUGUGAAGUUAGCCUGUGUAAGAAUUUCCUUCUAAGGACAUAUAUAUUUUGCAUAUGCAGUGAUGCGCUGUAUCAAAACGUAUUGCGUGCACAGAAGGUGCAAUAUCUGAACAGAUAAGAAAUCGUUGUUUUAAUGCUUACACCUCGAAACUCCGGUACCAGUAGAUUAAAUCAAGGGAACAAAUAAUGUAUAAUGACACUAACCUCAAGUAAUGAGGUUGACAUUGUUAAAUUAUAAUUUUUUUUUUUAAGUGUUAUUGGUUUUAUAUAAUUGAAUUGGUAAAGCAGGCAAGUUGUAUGUUUUUUACAUGCUAUAUAAAUACGUGUUUUGUUUUGCCUUGUUGAAAUCAGGGGAAAUAGAAGGGAUGGACACAAGGUACAAUGGCUUCCAGACUUAAAAUCCUAUUAUUUUUGGUUUAUUUUUUAUUUUUGAGUUUUGGUGCAUAGAAUCACAGUUACUCAGUUCACUGCAGGUCUUUGUUUUUCUUUUCGUAAAUCAGAAUGCUGUAUCGCUGUAAUUGAAGGCAUCUACCUCAGUAUCCAUAUGUUCAUAUUCUGAGCUUUUAUGACCGGUAAUGUAAAUAAGACGAUCAUGUUGAUGUGGCAGUGGUCUGUCAGUAAAACUGUGGUUAGUUGCAGUCACACAUUGGUAAAAGAUGCUUUGUCAUUUCAGCUGAUGAAACCAAGAAACUAGACUUAUACUUGUUUUCGUGAAGCAGCAAGAGCCUAAUAUGCAACAUGUCUCCAAACGUUCGCUGAGUAUUAUAGAUGAACACACAGUACAGCAGCAGCAUCCAUUUAUAUUCUUCUAAUUGCUCUUUCCAUCCACACGCCUCGGAACAUGCAUAUCGUCUGCAUCAUAUUGCUAAGCAAAUUCUCGGAUUAAAAGUGACAAAUGAAAGCUACACAGAACAGCUUAGAGUAGUUUAUAGCUAUAUUUCACCGUUAUGCACUGAGGUGUACAAAGAAUACUCUUUCCUGCUACUGCUACAUCUCUCAGAUUGGUGAAUUCAUCUUUUUAAUUUGAGACCUAGAUUUCAAAUAUAAGACUUCAGCCAAAUGCUUCCUUUAAAUCCUCCUCUAGACCAGGUGUAUUGUUCUUUGUCCUGCGCGUAGCAGUGGAAGGUAGGGGCGAAAAGGGGAAAGUGCAUUACGAAGACUGUUUCACUGUGAUCUUCUCCCAGGUCAUCGGUCAUCCAGCCUGAUGUCAGCUGCUCAGCGCACGCACUCUGCAACCUCAUCACAUUGGCCCUGAGGCUUGGGGUCAACUCAGAACCCACUUGUUAACUAGUUAUUGGUGCAAAAGCAGUUGGAGGGUCAACAACUGAAAAACGCCUGUGCUUUUUCAGUGGCAUCCGUGAGAAAAUGCAGCCUUUUAUCCAUCUCAAAGCCAGUCUCUGUGCCACUGUGCAUUCAUUUCAACCUUAGUAGAUUGUUGGAGCAUUUUAUAUGUAAUCUUAAAUCAUUGAAACAAAUCCUAUUCCAAGUAGCUGUGGACUUAGUCUCAGUACAUGCUGUAAGCAGGUGACCCAACGCUAUAAAGAACAUGUAGAUGUAAGGUGCCUGGGUAGAUUGCCUAAGGUGCAGUAGUUGUAGCACGUAUCAUGUGCGAUGUUCCCAAACUCCAAGAACUGUGGCCUUUGCAGGCUUGAAAAAAUCUGGGUUUGUUGGGUGGUGGGCUGUGAAGUCUAGCAUAUCAAGGCAAGUUAAUUCAGAGCAAUACGACAAUGGAGGGCAAUUCUAUGGCAAUUAGUUACCACAUAAAAUCAUAUAAUUGUAACUCCAGUAGAAUUAUUCUAGAGUAGCAUAUUUAUUUUUUUAUGUACUAUAAUGCUGGUCUGGAUUAAGUCUCCUUGUGCAAUAUGAAUUCUGCCUCAUUCAAUAAAAAGGUGUUUUCCACAUGUC
ensembl:lncRNA